rnacentral:rRNA from 1 species
UACGUAGGUGGCAAGCGUUGUCCGGAUUUACUGGGCGUAAAGAGCGCGCAGGCGGUUGAUUAAGUCGAAUGUGAAAGCCCCCGGCUCAACUGGGGAGGGUCAUUCGAUACUGAUCAACUUGAAGGCAGGAGAGGGAAGUGGAAUUCCGGGUGUAGUGGUGAAAUGCGUAGAUAUCCGGAGGAACACCAGUGGCGAAGGCGACUUCCUGGCCUGUUCUUGACGCUGAGGCGCGAAAGCUAGGGGAGCAAACGGG